CGCUAGUAGAGACACCGGCGAACCAACAGUCGACCCUCCUCCGUCGGUGAGUUCAACAAAAAAAAAAAAAAAGACUGAUGUUUGUCGCUCCGUCCAACGAGGACCAGCCAACAACAAACGCCAUUUCUGCUUCUCUCUUCUCCGGCGAGGUUGAGGAAAAUAACAACAACGGCAUUGAAGCACUUAUACCAGUCGACUCUGAGAGGUCGACAACAACGCAAUGAGCUCCGACUAGCCACUCUGAUUAGCGGGUGUAAUGAAAACAACGAGCACUAUUUUGGAUGUAGUUUGUUCAGCCGGAAGCUUCAAGAUUUUGGCUUAUUAAAGGCGGAUCCUUACAGAUCCGUCCGAGUUUGUUCCUAAUUCGAUUAUUAACUUUUUAAAUUUUUUUCUUAAAUUGUUCUUGAUUUGUUUCCAAAUAUAUAAUUUAUGAUUUUCAUUUCAAUGAUGAUUGCGAAAUUUCUUCAUAUGCCUGCUUGAUAAUUUGUGCUAAACUUAUUUCUUUAGCUUUAAAAUAUCAUCGUGUUAAUAUUCGCCUGCAUGAAAUGUAAAAUGGGUGGUAAUGUGUUGUGAGUGUAUUUAUACCGAUGAAAAUUUCUUUCUUAACUUAAAAUAUGAUUUUCUCAACUUGUAUCUAAAUGGUUAUCUCCUUCAACUUUCACCUUAUUUGGUGCUAUAAUAUUUGUUGACAUGUUAACAAUUUUCGUAUACAUCAAGUUGAUAAUCUAGAGUGAUGAUUGAUGCUCAAUUGAUUAUUUCCUUUACUAAAUUGAAUGGUUUUUACCUUACUAAUCAUGUUGUAAUCUAGUCCGGCUUCAAACUAUUUCAAUCUUUGAUUUUCACUCCCUUCGUUUAUGGUAUCCUUGUAAAAUUGGAUUUCGUGAUUUGUUCGUAAUUUAUUUAUUUUUCUUCAUUGAUUUGUUUAGAAUCUGUUUAAAUUGUUACUUGUCUGGAUAUGGUAAGGAUAUUAGAAAGUAGUAUG
rnacentral:lncRNA from 1 species